AAGGCCUGGUUCUCGGGCCACUUCCACCUCGGCCAAGAUUACCAGAGCCGGUUGUUGAGGGGCAACAAGGACGGCUUCGAGAUUUGCACUGUUGA
rnacentral:ribozyme from 1 species